CCCCACAAAAAUGAUAUAAAUGUAAUGUUAAAUCAAUAAUUAAAGUGUUUUAGCUGAAAGAACUGUCUCUAUAAAUGUUAACAGUCUACACGGAAGUUUCUAGAAGCCCUUAUGUGUAACUCGAGUUUUUAGUCUGUUCGCCUAGUGUGACAAAUAACGGUUCCCUUUCAGUCAACCAUUUAUUGUUACUGGUAUCAAAGUCUUUUUAUUUACUCAUAACAGUAUAUUUCUAAUAGAUUUACACAAAGUGUCCACUUUCUUGUAUUUUACAUUAGAAAAUGGGGAGAAAGAGUAAUAAAAAAUACCUCAAAAUUUUUUAAAAAGGGUUAUGUCCCUUGGAAUGCUGGUACAAAAAAUAAUUGGUAAGAAUUAUAAAGUUUAAGUAUGUGAGACUGGAUUCUGAUGUGUAUAAAUCCAGGGCAAAUAAGUGUUUAGAUGAUUUAUUGUCUGUGCAAAAUGUAGAUGGCACAAUGGCAAAUUGUAAACUUUUGCGGCCAAAAAAAACACAAAAAACAUGAUGAUAGUUGAUACUUACUUUAAUGCUGAAGUGUCAUCUGCAGACCAAUUCACAUAUAAGAUUUUUCAACAGAAUGCUCUUCAGAACAUGUGAACACUGAAAUAAAAAAUUCACAUGUUGUAUAAACAAAACUGUUAGGGGUAUUAUUUAAAAUUUAACACAGUAAACUAAAUACAGCUUUGUCUGUCCACCCAUUUGACUUAGAAAACACCCGUAAACCCCCAUUUCAAGGCAAUUUUACCUCAAACGUGCUUUCUGUGUCUCAAUCCAUUCCGAAUAGUCCAUGUUUACAAUGUAUGAACUGGUUUAUUAAUAACUUUUAAAAAUGAAAGUACAAUAAGGUCACGAGUGCACAUGUAGUUUCCCUAAAUAGGUGUAAUACCACCAUUGAUUUUUCCCUAUUAGUCUUGUUAAAUUGGUACUUUUAAAAAAAAUGUACAGAAUUUACCUUUAUUUCAACCAAAGAAAUACUUUGCAUGAAUAAAGUUUAAUCCUUUCCAGUGCUACAGUGAAAAUUUCACACUACAUUUCAUUGCAUAUAAGAAAGUAACCUGC
rnacentral:lncRNA from 1 species